UUCUUCCUGUCCAACUGAGACAAUAUAUUCCUUGAUGGACAUCUCCCUGCUCCCCCAUUCUCCAGCUCUGGCUACUGCCUUUCUGGUCUUAUAAGGAUUAAAGAGUCAAUUACUCAAGUGAUGUCACAGUAAAUAGGUGUGCCUACAUCAGAGCACCUCAACACAGGAAGGAGAUGAAGGUCUGGAGACAGCUGUGUAUUUUUGACAUCUGUGUAUUUCUAGAAGCCAUAAUGAUGGCCAAAGGCUGUAGAGGGAAACCUAUAACCUGGCACAUUCCUCAAGCAGACUUUGAUGCUGGUCAUUCCACUCAACGCUGGCUUCUCUGCGACAAUCCACUUGAACAGAAGCCCAAAAACCAGCUCUAGCCGGCCCGCAGAGCUCAAGUGUUUGCCACGGAACUGCACCGUGCUUCUUGAGGUGACUCAUAAAUGCUUCAUGCUGCACAAGAAGUGUUUAUAUACGAAGAUAUGACUGCGUGGAAACAGUAAAUAUGCUCUACAGUUUCAUCAA